rnacentral:rRNA from 1 species
UACCAGCACCCCGAGUGGUCGGGACGUUUUAUUGGGCCUAAAGCAUCCGUAGCCGGUUCUACAAGUCUUCCGUUAAAUCCACCUGCUCAACAGAUGGGCUGCGGAAGAUACUAUGGAGCUAGGAGGCGGGAGAGGCAAGCGGUACUCGAUGGGUAGGGGUAAAAUCCGUUGAUCCAUUGAAGACCACCAGUGGCGAAGGCGGCUUGCCAGAACGCGCUCGACGGGUGAGGGAUGAAAGCUGGGGGGAGCAAACCGGG